rnacentral:rRNA from 1 species
GGGUGCGAUCAUACCAGCACUAAUGCACUGGAUCCCAUCGGAACUUCGAAGUUCAGCGUGCUUGGGCGAGAGAAGUACUAGGAUGGGUGACCUCCUGAGAAGUCCUCGUGUUGCACCCC